UACGUAGGUGGCAAGCGUUGUCCGGAUUUACUGGGCGUAAAGAGCGCGCAGGCGGCUCGGUAAGUCUGCUGUGAAAUCUCCCGGCUUAACUGGGAGGGGUCAGCGGAUACUGUCGGGCUUGAGGCAGGUAGAGGAAGGUGGAAUUCCCGGUGUAGUGGUGGAAUGCGUAGAUAUCGGGAGGAACACCAGUGGCGAAGGCGGUUGCCUGGAGCUUUGCUGACGCUGAGGCGCGAAAGCGUGGGGGAGCGAUCCGG
rnacentral:rRNA from 1 species